AGCUUUAUAUUUAAUAAUAAUAUUAAAUUGCAAAUUUAAAGGUGAUAUAAUAAAUCUAAGGCUU
rnacentral:tRNA from 2 species